rnacentral:lncRNA from 1 species
CUUAACUAAAGAUGUGAAAAGGUGAUUUGGAAAGGCCUUGAAUAUCCUAACAUCCCAUUUUCUUGUUUAGUGAUAUUAUUAUGGAAUUUAAAAGCUUGAAAAGAUUCCAGAGGUUUCUCCAGUUAAGCCUCUUCUCUUGACCACAGAAACCCAGAAACAGUGUUUAGUUCCACAUUAUCCAAUGAAUCAGCAACAACUUAUGAACUAGAACCCUUGGCAGAUUUCCUGUCUCUCAGUCCCAUGCUUUUUUGUACUAAACCAGUAUUCUUUCUACUGUCAUUCCCCUUUGUGUGUAUGUGUAUAUGGUAUUAGGAAUUGAACCAGGACCUCAUACAAGCUCUGUAGCGCUGAGCUGCAUCCCCAGUCCCCUCAUUCCCAUUCUUCUGGGAUAUUUAAAGCUGAAAUGAAUGUGGGCUAUAUUUGAAGAUCUCUGUUUGAGCCCUGGAAUCAUAUCCUUACCAUACCCCCCACCUCAUCUCUCUCUCUCACACACAGACACACAUCAUGAAGUUAUCAGAUAGGACCCUCUUUUUUUUUCUGCAAACAAGAGCUAUUUUAUGCAUAUGACUAAUGAUAACCCCUAAAGUGCUUACAUAAAUGUGACAUUACACAGAUAUUCAUUUUGGCCCUAUUAUGCCUGAGGCAGUCAGGAAGACACUGUAGGUAAUUCAAACUUGAAGAAGCUGCUGUCACUGCCUUAAGAGCUUAUAAGGGAAGUGGUGAUACAUG